rnacentral:rRNA from 1 species
AUUGAACGCUGGCGGCAGGCUUAACACAUGCAAGUCGAACGAUGACUCUCUAGCUUGCUAGGGAUGAUUAGUGGCGGACGGGUGAGUAACAUUUAGGAAUCUGCCUAGUAGUGGGGGAUAGCUCGGGGAAACUCGAAUUAAUACCGCAUACGACCUACGGGUGAAAGGGGGCGCAAGCUCUUGCUAUUAGAUGAGCCUAAAUCAGAUUAGCUAGUUGGUGGGGUAAAGGCCCACCAAGGCGACGAUCUGUAACUGGUCUGAGAGGAUGAUCAGUCACACCGGAACUGAGACACGGUCCGGACUCCUACGGGAGGCAGCAGUGGGGAAUAUUGGACAAUGGGGGCAACCCUGAUCCAGCCAUGCCGCGUGUGUGAAGAAGGCCUUUUGGUUGUAAAGCACUUUAAGCAGGGAGGAGAGGCUAAUGGUUAAUACCCAUUAGAUUAGACGUUACCUGCAGAAUAAGCACCGGCUAACUCUGUG